CGCCUUUAGAUUUCUAAUUAAAGGUCCGGCCUGCCCUGUGAACCUCUUCAACGGCCGCGGUACCCUGACCGUGCUAAGGUAGCAUAAUCCCUUGCCUCUUAAUUAGUGGCUAGUAUGAAUGGCCAGACGAGCGUAACAUUGUCUCUAAUAAAUCUACAUAUAAUUUGACCCUCAGGUGAAGAGGCCUGAAUCCCUAAGUAGGACGAGAAGACCCUAUCGAGCUUCAUUAAUAUACAAUUUAUUUGCAUUACUAUGUUGUAUAUAAAUUUUGUUGGGGCAACAAAAGACCAACAAAAGCGUCUUUUUACUCUUUCGGUAAAUAAACCAAAAUGACCCAAUUUUAUUGAUCAAAAGAAACAGCUACCGUAGGGAUAACAGACUAAUCCCUUCCGAGAGCCCACAUUGACGAAGGGGCUUGGCACCUCGAUGUUGGCUUAGGGCCUCAUUAAAAAGCAGCAUUUUUAAUAGUAGGUUUGUUCAACCUUUAAAGCCCUA
rnacentral:rRNA from 1 species